rnacentral:rRNA from 1 species
UGCAAGUCGAACGAUGAAGCUCUCUGCUUGCAGAGAGUGGAUUAGUGGCGAACGGGUGAGUAACACGUGGGUAACCUGCCCAUAAGAGGGGGAUAACAUUCGGAAACGGAUGCUAAUACCGCAUAUGUCUUUGAGACGCCUGUCUCUUAGACGAAAGGUGGCUUCGGCUGCCGCUUAUGGAUGGACCCGCGGCGUAUUAGCUAGUUGGUGAGGUAAUGGCUCACCAAGGCAUUGAUACGUAGCCGACCUGAGAGGGUGAUCGGCCACACUGGGACUGAGACACGGCCCAGACUCCUACGGGAGGCAGCAGUAGGGAAUCUUCCACAAUGGGUGAAAACCUGAUGGAGCAAUACCGCGUGAGUGAAGAAGGUCUUCGGAUCGUAAAGCUCUGUUGUUAGAGAAGAACAAGUCGGGUAGUAACUGCCCCGACCUUGACGGUAUCUAACCAGAAAGUCACGGCUAACUACGUGCCAGCAGCCGCGGUAAUACGUAGGUGACAAGCGUUGUCCGGAUUUAUUGGGCGUAAAGCGAGCGCAGGCGGUCUUUUAAGUCUGAUGUGAAAGCCCACGGCUCAACCGUGGAGGGUCAUUGGAAACUGGAAGACUUGAAUGCAGAAGAGGAAAGUGGAAUUCCAUGUGUAGCGGUGAAAUGCGUAGAUAUAUGGAGGAACACCAGUGGCGAAGGCGACUUUCUGGUCUGUAAUUGACGCUGAGGCUCGAAAGCGUGGGGAGCGAACAGGAUUAGAUACCCUGGUAGUCCACGCCGUAAACGAUGAGUGCUAAGUGUUGGAGGGUUUCCGCCCUUCAGUGCUGGAGCUAACGCAUUAAGCACUCCGCCUGGGGAGUACGGCCGCAAGGCUGAAACUCAAAGGAAUUGACGGGGACCCGCACAAGCGGUGGAGCAUGUGGUUUAAUUCCAAGCAACGCGAAGAACCUUACCAGGUCUUGACAUCCUCUGAACACUCUA